rnacentral:rRNA from 1 species
UACGUAGGGUCCGAGCGUUGUCCGGAAUUACUGGGCGUAAAGAGCUCGUAGGUGGUUUGUCGCGUUGUUCGUGAAAACUCACAGCUUAACUGUGGGCGUGCGGGCGAUACGGGCAGACUUGAGUACUGCAGGGGAGACUGGAAUUCCUGGUGUAGCGGUGGAAUGCGUAGAGAUCCGGAAGAACACCGGUGGCGAAGGCGGUCUGCUGGGCCAAGACUGACGCUGAGGCGCGACAGCGUGGGGAGCAAACAGG